rnacentral:rRNA from 1 species
UACGUAGGUGGCAAGCGUUGUCCGGAUUUACUGGGCGUAAAGGGCGUGCAGGCGGUUUGUUAAGUGCAGGGUGAAAGCUCCCGGCUCAACUGGGAGAGGUCCUUGCAUACUGGCAAACUCGAGGGAGGCAGAGGAAAGUGGAAUUCCCGGUGUAGUGGUGAAAUGCGUAGAUAUCGGGAGGAACACCAGUGGCGAAGGCGACUACCUGGCCUGUUCUUGACGCUGAGGCGCGAAAGCUAGGGGAGCAAACAGG